rnacentral:rRNA from 1 species
UACGGGGGGGGCAAGCGUUGUUCGGAAUUACUGGGCGUAAAGGGCUCGUAGGUGGCCAACUAAGUCAGACGUGAAAUCCCUCGGCUUAACCGGGGAACUGCGUCUGAUACUGGAUGGCUUGAGUUUGGGAGAGGGACGCGGAAUUCCAGGUGUAGCGGUGAAAUGCGUAGAUAUCGUAAGGAAGACCAGUGGCGAAGGCGGGUCUCUGGACAGUUCCUGACGCUGAGGCACGAAGGCAAGGGGAGCAAACGGG